AAGACUAUACUUUCAGGGAUCAUUUCUGCAGUUUUGCAUAGAGAAGAUUCUCUGUGUAGGGUAUCUUAGACCACAAGGACCAGUAGAAGUGUUCCCUUUAAAGCGUGCAGCUUGCUUUAGGUGCUGCUUUUCUGUAGCUGCCUCUUGUUAUUGAUGGUCCUUCUUCUCUUUUUUUGGUGGUGGGGGGAUGCAGUUUGAAUAGAAAAGAAAAGAAAGAGGGACAGAGGG
rnacentral:snoRNA from 1 species